GCCUGGGUGGCUCAGUGGUUUAGCAUCUGUCUUCAGCUCAGAUCACGAUCUCGGGGUCCUGGGAUCAAGUCCCAUAUCAGGCU
rnacentral:tRNA from 1 species